rnacentral:rRNA from 1 species
CGGUUGGAUUAGUGGCGAACGGGUGAGUAUCACGUGAGUAACCUUCCCUUGACUCUGGGAUAAGCCCGGGAAACUGGGUCUAAUACCGGAUACGACCAGUCCUCGCAUGGGGUGCUGGUGGAAAGAUUUAUCGGUCUUGGAUGGACUCGCGGCCUAUCAGCUUGUUGGUGAGGUAAUAGCUCACCAAGGCGAUGACGGGUAGCCGGCCUGAGAGGGUGACCGGCCACACUGGGACUGAGACACGGCCCAGACUCCUACGGGAGGCAGCAGUGGGGAAUAUUGCACAAUGGGCGAAAGCCUGAUGCAGCGACGCCGCGUGCGGGAUGACGGCCUUCGGGUUGUAAACCGCUUUCAGCAGGGAAGAAGCGAAAGUGACGGUACCUGCAGAAGAAGCGCCGGCUAACUACGUGCCAGCAGCCGCGGUAAUACGUAGGGCGCGAGCGUUAUCCGGAAUUAUUGGGCGUAAAGAGCUCGUAGGCGGUUUGUCACGUCUGCUGUGAAAGCCCGGGGCUCAACCCCGGGUGUGCAGUGGGUACGGGCAGACUAGAGUGCAGUAGGGGAGACUGGAAUUCCUGGUGUAGCGGUGAAAUGCGCAGAUAUC